UUGGGGUAUUUUUAGAGAGGUUUACGUC
rnacentral:sRNA from 1 species